GACGGAGGGUGCAAGCGUUAUUCGGAAUCAUUGGGCGUAAAGAGCGUGUAGGCGGCCGGGCAAGUCAGAGGUGAAAGCCCAGGGCUCAACCCUGGAAGGGCCUUUGAAACUGCUUGGCUUGAGUCCGGGAGAGGGAAGCGGAAUUCCUGGUGUAGAGGUGAAAUUCGUAGUUAUCAGGAGGAACACCGGUGGCGAAGGCGGCUUCCUGGACCGACACUGACGCUGAGACGCUAAAGCGUGGGGAGCAAACAGG
rnacentral:rRNA from 1 species